CCUACGGGUGGCAGCAGUGAGGAAUAUUGGUCAAUGGGCGUAAGCCUGAACCAGCCAAGUCGCGUGAGGGAUGAAGGUUCUAUGGAUCGUAAACCUCUUUUAUAAGGGAAUAAAGUGUGGGACGUGUCCUAUUUUGUAUGUACCUUAUGAAUAAGGAUAGGCUAUCUCUGUGCCAGCAGCCGCGGUAUUACGGAGGAUCCGCGCGUUAUCCGGAUUUAUUGGGUUUAAAGGGUGCGUAGGCGGCCUUUUAAGUCAGCGGUGAAAGUCUGUGGCUCAACCAUAGAAUUGCCGUUGAAACUGGGGGGCUUGAGUAUGUUUGAGGCAGGCGGAAUGCGUGGUGUAGCGGUGAAAUGCUUAGAUAUCACGCAGAACCCCGAUUGCGAAGGCAGCCUGCCAAGCCAUGACUGACGCUGAUGCACGAAAGCGUGGGGAUCAAACAGGAUUAGAUACCCCAGUAGUC
rnacentral:rRNA from 1 species